GAUGAACGCUGGCGGCGUGCCUAAUACAUGCAAGUCGAGCGAACGGACGAGAAGCUUGCUUCUCUGAUGUUAGCGGCGGACGGGUGAGUAACACGUGGAUAACCUACCUAUAAGACUGGGAUAACCUCGGGAAACCGGAGCUAAUACCGGAUAAUAUUUUGAACCGCAUGGUUCAAAAGUGAAAGACGGUCUUGCUGUCACUUAUAGAUGGAUCCGCGCUGCAUUAGCUAGUUGGUAAGGUAACGGCUUACCAAGGCAACGAUGCAUAGCCGACCUGAGAGGGUGAUCGGCCACACUGGAACUGAGACACGGUCCAGACUCCUACGGGAGGCAGCAGUAGGGAAUCUUCCGCAAUGGGCGAAAGCCUGACGGAGCAACGCCGCGUGAGUGAUGAAGGUCCUCGGAUCGUAAAACUCUGUUAUUAGGGAAGAACAUAUGUGUAAGUAACUGUGCACAUCUUGACGGUACCUAAUCAGAAAGCCACGGCUAACUACGUG
rnacentral:rRNA from 1 species